GACGAACGCUGGCGGCGUGCUUAACACAUGCAAGUCGAACGGAAAGGCCCUGCUUUUGUGGGGUGCUCGAGUGGCGAACGGGUGAGUAACACGUGAGUAACCUGCCCUUGACUUUGGGAUAACUUCAGGAAACUGGGGCUAAUACCGGAUAGGAGCUCCUGCUGCAUGGUGGGGGUUGGAAAGUUUCGGCGGUUGGGGAUGGACUCGCGGCUUAUCAGCUUGUUGGUGGGGUAGUGGCUUACAAGGCUUUGACGGGUAGCCGGCCUGAGAGGGUGACCGGCCACAUUGGGACUGAGAUACGGCCCAGACUCCUACGGGAGGCAACAGUGGGGAAUAUUGCACAAUGGGCGGAAGCCUGAUGCAGCAACGCCGCGUGCGGGAUGACGGCCUUCGGGUUGUAAACCGCUUUCGCCUGUGACGAAGCGUGAGUGACGGUAAUGGGUAAAGAAGCACCGGCUAACUACGUG
rnacentral:rRNA from 1 species